UACGGGGGGGGCAAGCGUUGUUCGGAAUUACUGGGCGUAAAGGGCUCGUAGGUGGCCAACUAAGUCAGACGUGAAAUCCCUCAGCUUAACUGGGGAACUGCGUCUGAUACUGGAUGGCUUGAGUUUGGAAGAGGGAUGCGGAAUUCCAGGUGUAGCGGUGAAAUGCGUAGAUAUCUGGAGGAGCACCGGUGGCGAAGGCGGCAUCCUGGACCAACACUGACACUGAGGAGCGAAAGCCAGGGGAGCAAACGGG
rnacentral:rRNA from 1 species